rnacentral:rRNA from 1 species
CCCUUAGAUGUUCUGGGCCGCACGCGCGCUACACUGAUGCUUUCAACGAGUUUCUUCCUGGUCCGAGAGGAAUGGGUAACCUUUUGAAAGUGCAUCGUGAUAGGGAUAGACUAUUGCAAUUAUUGGUCUUCAACGAGGAAUUCCUAGUAGACGUAGUUCAUCAGACUGCAUCGAUUACGUCCCUGCCCUUUGUACACACCGCCCGUCGCUCCUACCGAUUGAAUGCUCAGGUGAGCCAUUCGGACUUUCAUCAUGCUGGUUUCCAGUUUUGAUGAAGGAAAGUCUUGCGAACCUUAUCAUUUAGAGGAAGGAGAAGUCGUAACA